rnacentral:rRNA from 1 species
CCUACGGGUGGCUGCAGUGGGGAAUAUUGGACAAUGGGCGAAAGCCUGAUCCAGCCAUGCCGCGUGUGUGAAGAAGGCCUUCGGGUUGUAAAGCACUUUCAGUGGGGAAGAAAGCCUUGGGGCUAAUACCCUCGAGGAAGGACAUCACCCACAGAAGAAGCACCGGCUAACUCCGUGCCAGCAGCCGCGGUAAUACGGAGGGUGCGAGCGUUAAUCGGAAUUACUGGGCGUAAAGCGCGCGUAGGCGGUCUGAUAAGCCGGUUGUGAAAGCCCCGGGCUCAACCUGGGAACGGCAUCCGGAACUGUCAGGCUAGAGUGCAGGAGAGGAAGGUAGAAUUCCCGGUGUAGCGGUGAAAUGCGUAGAGAUCGGGAGGAAUACCAGUGGCGAAGGCGGCCUUCUGGACUGACACUGACGCUGAGGUGCGAAAGCGUGGGUAGCAAACAGGAUUAGAUACCCCAGUAGUG